rnacentral:rRNA from 1 species
UGGCUCAGGAUGAACGCUAGCUACAGGCUUAACACAUGCAAGUCGAGGGGAAACGAUAGUUGGAAGCUUGCUUCCGAUAGGCGUCGACCGGCGCACGGGUGAGUAACGCGUAUCCAACCUGCCCAUCACUUGGGGAUAACCUUGCGAAAGUAAGACUAAUACCCAAUGACGUCUCUAGAAGACAUCUGAACAUCAAAGAUUUAUCGCUGAAAGAUGGGCUCGCGUCUGAUUAGAUAGUUGGUGGGGUAACGGCCUACCAAGUCGACGAUCAGUAGCCGGACUGAGAGGUUGAACGGCCACAUUGGGACUGAGAUACGGCCCAGACUCCUACGGGAGGCAGCAGGUGGGGAAUAUUGCACAAUGGGGGAAACCCUGAUGCAGCAACGCCGCGUGAAGGAUGACGGUUUUCGGAUUGUAAACUUCUUUUCUUAGUGACGAAGACAGUGACGGUAGCUAAGGAAUAAGCAUCGGCUAACUACGUG